AACAGCAGGAGGAACAGUAGGAGGAGGAGGAGGAGGAGGAGGAGGAGGAGGAGGAGGAUAGAGUUCAUUUCCAACACUUCUCUGGGAAUUUAAAUCGUCCCAAAUUCGAGAGAUUUGAAAUUGACUGACUUUUGGAUCGGGGCCCUGAUCACAGGAGGUCCAGGAUGAAUAAGCUACGGCAGAGUUUCCGGCGGAAGAAAGACGUGUACGUUCCUGAGUCCAGCCGACCGCACCAGUGGCAGACGGACGAGGGGUCGGUCCGCAGGGGAAAGUGUAGCUUCGCAGUCAAGGAACGUUUUUCAUCCAAAAAUGAAAUACUGCCCCCAGAGGUUCAAGAGGUUAAUGGGAUACUUCACACAUUGGUUUCAUUACCCUGUCAGCAGUUACUGGACAAGGUAUGACAGCAAUCCAUGCAUUGGUUUUAUUGUCCACUGUUUCAAUUGGUUACUUUUUAUUAUUUGUGGCACAAAUCCAAUGCAUGUCAUUGGUAUCUUAUAUUAGCAUCACAAGUCAAUCAGCCUGACCUAUCUAACAAUGGAUCAUAUGACUCAGUGGAGUGUGUGUUUAACUGGAGUGGAGUGGUGUGUGUUUAACUGGAGUGGAGUGGUGUGUGUUUAACUGGACUGGAGUGGUGUGUGU